rnacentral:rRNA from 1 species
GAUGAACGCUAGCGGCAGGCUUAAUACAUGCAAGUCGAGGGGCAGCAUGAGUGUAGCAAUACAUUUGAUGGCGACCGGCAAACGGGUGCGGAACACGUACACAACCUUCCUAUAAGUGGGGAAUAGCCCAGAGAAAUUUGGAUUAAUACCCCGUAACAUAAUGAUGUGGCAUCACAUUAUUAUUAUAGCUUCGGCGCUUAUUGAUGGGUGUGCGGCUGAUUAGAUAGUUGGCGGGUUAACGGCCCACCAAGUCUACGAUCAGUAGCUGAUGUGAGAGCAUGAUCAGCCACACGGGCACUGAGACACGGGCCCGACUCCUACGGGAGGCAGCAGUAAGGAAUAUUGGUCAAUGGACGCAAGUCUGAACCAGCCAUGCCGCGUGAAGGAUUAAGGUCCUCUGGAUUGUAAACUUCUUUUAUCUGGGACGAAAAAAGGCUAUUCUUAGUCACUUGACGGUACCAGAUGAAUAAGCACCGGCUAACUCCGUGCCAGCCGCCGCGGUAAUAC